rnacentral:rRNA from 1 species
CCUACGGGGGGCAGCAGUGAGGAAUAUUGGUCAAUGGACGAGAGUCUGCACCAGCCAAGUAGCGUGAAGGAUGACUGCCCUAUGGGUUGUAAACUUCUUUUAUAAAGGAGUAAAACGAGGCACGUGUGCCUUUUUGCAUGUACUUUAUGAAUAAGGACCGGCUACUUCCGUGCCAGCCGCCGCGGUAAUACGGAAGGUCCAGGCGUUAUCCGGAUUUAUUGGGUUUAAAGGGAGCGUAGGCCGUUCUUUAAGCGUGCCGUGAAAUUUUGUGGCUCAACCAUGAGAGUGCGGCGCGAACUGGAGACCUUGAGUGCGCGGAAGGCAGGCGGAAUUCGUGGUGUAGCGGUGAAAUGCUUAGAUAGCACGAAGAACCCCGAUUGCGAAGGCAGCCUGCCGCGGCGUUACUGACGCUGAGGCUCGAAAGCGCGGGUAUCGAACAGGAUUAGAUACCCCAGUAGUC